UGAUUUUGGAAAUGGUUUGGUUGAGGUUAGGCCAGAAAGUAAACAACUUACAACUUACAAAAAGGAUAAUAGUCUACGAUGUUUUUAAACAAUAUCCCUGUUAGCGAAAAAAAGUAAAGUCAAAGCACAUAAUGGUGUGUAUGGAGAGUGUUGUUAGUGGCCAUAGAACUAAUAUGAUAAGAGAGCGGUCUGGGCGAGAAACUGGAAAUUAUUCGAUUUGAUCCUCUAAUUCAGCAAGACUCAAUCUACAAAGAACUGAAGAAAGUGAAAAGGCAUGUCAGCCAAGUACAAGCCAAUCACUCGACCAUUUAGACCUGUUUUUCACGAUUUGCAAUCCAGUAGUGUUCCGUUUCAAUGUACACAUGGUAAAUAUGCCUAGAUAAUAA